rnacentral:lncRNA from 1 species
AAUGAUCUACCCACCCUAUUGGAACUAUUUAGAAACAAAAUUUUAGAUUUUUUUGACAUCAUUUACUAAGCGAUCAAAUGGUCUAAAAAAUGACUAUUUUAACGGUCGAUGUGGCACAUUUUUAAGUUCAACGGUGUAGAAGUAUCCAAUUACAUGAAAAUUUAAUAGAAAAUUCUACUUAACAUCAGUAGUAAGAUCAAUACUUCCGAUUUAAAUUUAAAUCUUUUAUCAAU